AGACUGCUGAGUGCCCACUGUGCAAGAAAACAUUUGACAGUGAUGUUAUUGAGAUACAUGCAGCCAACUGUGGAUUACGAACUGCAGAAUAUGAUAACUUCAGUGACCCAAAAAAUACAUUUCAAAGUUCUGGGGAGAUUUUGAAUUGGAUCAGCAGGAAAGUUGAUCAAAACAACACCUUUCCCAUAUGCAUUUCUUGGAAUGACAUCUUCAGUAGAGGAAUGCAGCAGUGGCAGCGCCAGAAGAAAUCUUCACCGAAAGGCAGACUGAUGGUUACCUUUUUUGGCGAAGCAGGGGUCAACUCUGGUGCUCUUAGCAAGGAAUUCUUAACAGGUACAGCUAAUUUAGUUUAUUUUAAAAUGUUUUAUAUUUUAAAGCAGACAUUUUGUCAGAUCAGAUUUUAAAUCGAUUGUAUUUUUUUUGUGGGUCUAGAAAUGAUUGCAAAGAUUGAAACGACUGUUUAUCGAUGGUGUAGAUAAAAAAGGGAAAAAUCCAGUCUAUUGUCUCAACAGCUUUGAGACAGAUUUGAUCAUGCAACACUUUUCACAUUGAUAAACAUUUUUGGUUGAUUUUAAGAUUUUGUUUUAUCCACUGUGGUAUUAGAAGUGCAGGAGAACUUAUGGCUGUCAGUCUAGCA